ACUCAUAUUUGUAGACCAGGCUGGCUUCAAACUUACAGAGAUCCACCUGCCCCUGUCUGUCCUGGGAUUAAAGAUGUGCACCACCACUACCCAGCGAGAACUCGUUUUAUCUCUGUAACCUGGGCUACUUUAGACCUCUUCUGCCCUGACUCCAUAGCAACCUCCUUUCUCAAUUCUUACACAUGUGUAAGUCUGUGCUUGUGCUGGUGUGCAGCUGCCAUAGGGCAUGGGUCAGCAAGGAAACUACUUCCUUCCGGAUCAUUUAUUUUUUCAACAGAUGGGUGGCUUUUCCCUUUAAGCUCUCAAUCUCUUUACUAUAUACUUUUGCCAUGAGAAUUACUUUUUUCAUUUUCCAUAUUUGUAAAAAAAAAAAAAAAAAAAAAAAGCAAGCUUAUAAUCAAAUCUAGUACAAGCCGACUGGCUUAAUCUGUUGUCUUUUGAGUUCAAAUUGUCAUUAUUAAACAGGACAUUAAUGGCCCCAUUUUGGGGCCUUAAUGUGUGUGUUUCUACAGUGUUGAUGCCUGGCACAGUUGCCUUAAGCAGCACAUCUGGGUUUCGUUCAACUCGGGACGAAGCUUCUCUUCAUUGAAAUCAAGGCUUAAAAGUCAGAGUUUUUCCAUAUUAGCAAUGAGUUAUUGACUCAUGAAUUAGUAAUUAUGCAGCAUUUUCAAUAUGCCAAGCAUUUUAUAUGGAUUAUGUAAAUAAUAGCCCUGUGUAUUCCCAUUGUACAUACAGGAAAAUUGAGGCUUAGGAAGUUUAAAUCUCUUGCUUUGGAUCACACGGUAGAACUAGGCAUUACACCGGACGCAGCUUUAUAGAGCCCCAGGUGGUCGCCCCUGAGUCAGCCCAGUAUCAAAGAAACUCUGCCCUUAAGUCUCCUUACUGUUACAGUCACUGCUGCUCUGUCUUGAUAACUCAGGCUCCCAAGACCCCUCCCUAGACAACAGCGCCAAGACUGAGGUGAAGAGUCUCUGCUUAGGGUGUAAGUAGCCUAGGCCUCCUCACAGGCCUCCUCUAGCUAAAGGGUCAGAGGAGGACAGGACAAUGAUCUUCAUAACUUGAGUUAGAAUUUCUAAGAUGGGUAUUUUUUUUUAAGUUUCAUAGAUAGCAUUAACAAGUCAUCCCUCUCACGGAUGCUGGGUGAAAAUUUAUCACAUUAAUGAUGAGUGUGCUGUCUUCUCUGAAAUUUGUAAAGUUUGGGCGAUAUGUUGGCACAGAAACUAGACCUGCGGAAUAGAAUGCUCUGCCCUCACACUGUUCACUUUUCCGUUGCUCUGUCUCAUUUACCCUGAAAUCUUCAUAGCUCUGUUUGGUCCCACCCACCCCUCAUCCUCCCUAAGCUGACUUGGGUGAGUUAACUUUGUGCUUCAAUAGCAUUUUCCCUGAAGGAAAGUCCUAAUGCUUUCCUAUUUAGCCCAAGGAAGUCAUACUGUUGCACACGAGAUUGGGGUGAUCCAAGUUAGGAAACGACAGCCCUUUUUGACUGCCAACCUUGUUCAUCUGUGUUAGUGCAGUUUGUGAGUACCCUCACCCUAUGACUUAUAAAACGUGAGGUGCUGCUUGCUAGCUUCUAUGGUCAUUAAGGUAUCUUCGUGGAGAUAAAGUAUACUAAAAGGUUUUGUUUUCAGUAAGACUGCUUUUGAAAUCACCAGUCUUUAGGGUAUAUCUUAAUGAACAGCUGGACAGGAAAAAAGAAAAAGCAGGCACUAAGACCUGGGGUGUAUGGCACUCAAAAUUCAAAUUAAGAUCCUUUUCAUCGUAAGCCUGCUCUGAGGUGAAUUCGUAGUGUGUCAAAAGGCCUUUGGUGUUUCAUUUCCCUGCUUUUGCAUUGGGGGAAGUAAUACCUCACUUCUGUGAGGGCAGGGGCCUUCAAACAAUACAGCCUCUCCAAUUCUAAGGAGUCCGAUCCUGUCACCAUCUUACAUCACUGCCUGGGAAUCAGUCCCCGCCUCCCUUCCUCUUGAACUAGCUGCUAACUGCUUUUGGUGGUUUUCCUUGUCCAUGUCUCCUGCUCUCCGGGUGCUCAUUCAACAAGUAUCUGGAACCUGUGAGAACGAAUUCAUACCUUUCUGACCCUGAGCAUAAUCAAACAGGAUGUGACCUAAGUCUGAUCAUGGGGCGGCGGGGCGGUGAUGCUGUGUUGCUUUGUGUGGUCACAGAGGUCCUCACAGAUGUGGAACAAUGGAGCAGAGACAAAGGAAGGUUGUCAGGAAGAUUCUUUCACACAGAGGCUCUAGUAGCUUGGUGCUUUGUCAAGUUGAGAGCCGAAAUGAAGUGAAAUAAAAGAUGGCCAUUCUCUGCUCUCCGGGCUAAUGGCAUUGUGUCUCCUCCAACCCACCUUCGUUUGGCUUGUGAAAAACCCUUUUUGCACCUGCUGGUCAUACUUCUCUCUGGCAUGACUGCCACCUUGUGUCCCUUGUCUUUGCCUAGUAACCUUUGUUGACUUCAUCGUUACCAUGUAUUUGAGCUGGGCCACUCAUCCUGAAUGACCUUCAACUUCAUACCUCUUCGGAGCUUUACAGCACACUCCUAGUCUUGAUAGAAAUGAAAAUAAACUCAUCUUGUUUUCUGACUGA